rnacentral:tRNA from 1 species
UGCCCUGUAGUGUAAUUGGCAACACGUCUGUCUCUGGAUCAGAAGAGUUUAGGUUCGAAACCUAACGGGGCAA